rnacentral:rRNA from 1 species
GAUGAACGCUGGCGGCGUGCCUAAUACAUGCCAGUCGAGCGAACAGACGAGGAGCUUGCUCCUCUGACGUUAGCGGCGGACGGGUGAGUAACACGUGGAUAACCUACCUAUAAGACUGGGAUAACUUCGGGAAACCGGAGCUAAUACCGGAUAAUAUAUUGAACCGCAUGGUUCAAUAGUGAAAGACGGUUUUGCUGUCACUUAUAGAUGGAUCCGCGCCGCAUUAGCUAGUUGGUAAGGUAACGGCUUACCAAGGCAACGAUGCGUAGCCGACCUGAGAGGGUGAUCGGCCACACUGGAACUGAGACACGGUCCAGACUCCUACGGGAGGCAGCAGUAGGGAAUCUUCCGCAAUGGGCGAAAGCCUGACGGAGCAACGCCGCGUGAGUGAGGAAGGUCUUCGGAUCGUAAAACUCUGUUAUUAGGGAAGAACAAAUGUGUAAGUAACUAUGCACGUCUGGACGGUACCUAAGCAGAAAGCCACGGCUAACUACGG